GUUGACCUCGGAUCAGGUAGGAAUACCCGCUGAACUUAAGCAUAUCAAUAAGCGGAGGAAAAGAAACCAACAGGGAUUGCCUUAGUAACGGCGAGUGAAGCGGCAACAGCUCAAAUUUGAAAUCUGGCCCCCCCCGGGGUCCGAGUUGUAAUUUGCAGAGGAUGUCUUCUGGCGCGGUGCCUUCCGAGUUCCCUGGAACGGGACGCCACAGAGGGUGAGAGCCCCGUAAUGGUCGGAUACCAAGCCUGUGUGAAGCUCCUUCGACGAGUCGAGUAGUUUGGGAAUGCUGCUCUAAAUGGGAGGUAAAUCUCUUCUAAAGCUAAAUACUGGCCAGAGACCGAUAGCGCACAAGUAGAGUGAUCGAAAGAUGAAAAGCACCUUGAAAAGGGGGUUAAACAGUACGUGAAAUUGUUGAAAGGGAAGCGCUCAUGACCAGACUUGCGCCGGGCGGCUCAGCAGGUGGUUCCGCCCCUGUGUACUCCGUCCCGGUUCAGGCCAGCAUCGGUUCUCGCCGGGGGAUAAGCACGGUGGGAACGUGGCCCCCCCUCGGGGGGGUGUUAUAGCCCGCCGUUACGAUACCCUGGCGGGGACCGAGGUUCGCGCAUCUGCAAGGAUGCUGGCGUAAUGGUUAUCAGUGACCCGUCUUGAAACACGGACCAAGGAGUCGUCCUUUAGAGCGAGCGUCUGGGUGUCAAAACCCGCACGCGUAAUGAAAGUGAAAUUAGGUGAGAGCCCUCGCGGGCGCAUCAUCGACCGAUCCUGAUGUUCUCGGACGGAUUUGAGUAAGAGUUUUAACGGACGGACCCGAAAGACAGUGAACUAUGCUUGGAUAGGGUGAAGCCAGAGGAAACUCUGGUGGAGGCUCGCAGCGGUUCUGACGUGCAAAUCGAUCGUCAAAUCUGAGCAUGGGGGCGAAAGACUAAUCGAAC
rnacentral:rRNA from 1 species